rnacentral:rRNA from 1 species
AUGCAAUACGUUGAUGAUACCCUCAUCAUCGCCAAGGCAACUGCUGCCCCUGCAACUGCUCUCAAAAACAUCUUGCAAGAUUUCGUCCGAGCCAAUGGUCUUUCCAUUAACUUAUCUAAAACCACUUUUGUGCCGAUGAAUUUACGUCAACAACUAUUGUGGAAUCGCUGCUUUGCCCAAUCUCCUCCUUCCCCCACAUCUACAUCAGACUACAACCCUCACCCACUCGACUACCCUCUGGUGCUUUUCUGCCUAUUUUGCAAAGCUGUUGCAAAGACCUUGCUGGUUGGAAAGCCAGCCUAG